rnacentral:rRNA from 1 species
CUAUACCUACGGGACGCAGCAGUAGGGAAUCUUCCACAAUGGACGAAAGUCUGAUGGAGCAACGCCGCGUGAGUGAAGAAGGGUUUCGGCUCGUAAAGCUCUGUUGGUAGUGAAGAAAGAUAGAGGUAGUAACUGGCCUUUAUUUGACGGUAAUUACUUAGAAAGUCACGGCUAACUACGUGCCAGCAGCCGCGGUAAUACGUAGGUUGCAAGCAUUGUCCGGAUUUAUUGGGCGUAAAGCGAGU